UGGGGAAUUUUGGACAAUUGGGCGAAAGCCUGAUCCAGCAAUGCCGCGUGUGUGAAGAAGGCCUUCGGGUUGUAAAGCACUUUUGUCCGGAAAGAAAUCCUUGGCUCUAAUACAGUCGGGGGAUGACGGUACCGGAAGAAUAAGCACCGGCUAACUACGUGCCAGCAGCCGCGGUAAUACGUAGGGUGCAAGCGUUAAUCGGAAUUACUGGGCGUAAAGCGUGCGCAGGCGUUUGCUAAGACCGAUGUGAAAUCCCCGGGCUCAACCUGGGAACUGCAUUGGUGACUGGCAGGCUAGAGUAUGGCAGAGGGGGGUAGAAUUCCACGUGUAGCAGUGAAAUGCGUAGAGAUGUGGAGGAAUACCGAUGGCGAAGGCAGCCCCCUGGGCCAAUACUGACGCUCAUGCACGAAAGCGUGGGGAGCAAACAGGAUUAGAUACCCUGGUAGUCCACGCCCUAAACGAUGUCAACUAGUUGUUGGGGAUUCAUUUCCUUAGUAACGUAGCUAACGCGUGAAGUUGACCGCCUGGGGAGUACGGUCGCAAGAUU
rnacentral:rRNA from 1 species